rnacentral:rRNA from 1 species
AGGACGAACGCUGGCGGCGUGCUUAACACAUGCAAGUCGAGCGGAAAGGCCCUUCGGGGUACUCGAGCGGCGAACGGGUGAGUAGCACGUGAGCAAUCUGCCCUUAGCUUCGGGAUAGCCCCGGGAAACCGGGAUUAAUACCGAAUAUGACCUCGGCCGACAUCGGCUUUGGUGGAAAGUUUUUCGGCUAGGGAUGAACUCGCGGCCUAUCAGCUUGUUGGUGGGGUAAUGGCCUACCAAGGCGACGACGGGUAGCCGGCCUGAGAGGGCGACCGGCCACACUGGGACUGAGACACGGCCCAGACUCCUACGGGAGGCAGCAGUGGGGAAUAUUGCGCAAUGGGCGAAAGCCUGACGCAGCGACGCCGCGUGGGGGAUGAAGGCCUUCUGGUUGUAAACCCCUUUCAGCAGGGACGAAGCGAGAGUGACGGUACCUGCAGAAGAAGCGCCGGCUAACUACGCGCCAGCAGCCGC